rnacentral:rRNA from 1 species
UCGCUGUGAAGAUGCAGUGUACCCGCGGCAAGACGGAAAGACCCCGUGAACCUUUACUAUAGCUUGACACUGAACAUUGAGCCUUGAUGUGUAGGAUAGGUGGGAGGCUUGGAAGUGUGGACGCCAGUCUGCAUGGAGCCGACCUUGAAAUACCACCCUUUAAUGUUUGAUGUUCUAACGUUGACCCGUAAUCCGGGUUGCGGACAGUGUCUGGUGGGUAGUUUGACUGGGGCGGUCUCCUCCUAAAGAGUAACGGAGGAGCACGAAGGUUGGCUAAUCCUGGUCGGACAUCAGGAGGUUA